ACAACAAUAUAUCUGAGUUUAUCAUGUUAUGCAUUACAGCUUACAGAUCACAGUGUGUCUACAAAGACACAAAACAUUUAGUCACAGUCAUCUGGAACUGAACAAUUUAGUAUUUUACUUUAUGAUCAAAACAACUUGUCAAGAUCUUCAAUUUGUUUUAAAUUUACAUUCAUUUUCACUUCUGUGCAGUAAUCCUGACCACCUGAACUGAAACACCACACAAACUAAAAGGGAAUGGUUAAGGUUAAGUUGCUCUCCUGCUUUUUAAAUGUAUAACAUUUAUCUAUAAAAAUGUCUAAAAGUUGUGGCAGUGCAUCAGUAAUAGGGUUCCAGCAAACCAAACUCUUGUACUGACAUUAUACUGCACAAUAUUUCCACAGUAACUAUUCAUUUUCACUCUGUAAGUAUUAAUUUUCUUCUCUGUAGUUUUACACUUUGCAAAUUCAUCCUGUGGACCAGAUUGGACCCUCUGGUGGGACGGUUUUGGCCCAUAAGCUAUAUGUUUGACACCGCUGCUUCACUGCUACCAACUGUUCCUGAGUGAACAGGAUGAAUUUUUCGUCCCUGGAUGUCAGAAAUGUGUAUUCCAUGUGCAAUAAUAUACCUUUCCCUGGACACUUUAAAGUAAAUCAAUAUAAUCUAAUACAAUCCACUACAGCACCGCAGUGACUCACAUUGCUAGUUUUGUAAUUAUAGGUUGCUUGAAAUCAUUCACCUUGACAGCAGAAUAUUGGAGAGGACAAUACAAUUUUCAUAUCAUCUUGACACACUGAAAGCAUCAACGGUGAUAUUGAAUUACUGUUCUAACCUAUAUGCAUUUUUUCCCCCUGGAUAUUGUCUUUUUGAUUUGAUGUCUGCUUAUCUGGGAGUCACAGUCAUAUUGAGAUUCCUGUUGACUGCUGAGGUUCAACAACACCACUGCGAGCUGAGGCACGACUUUCAUUUCAUUUUAAAGCACAAACCGCUCUGUAAUAUUCCUUUUGAAGAACCCAGUUCAUUCCAGCAACAAAGGGGAACGCGCACCGCCUCCACUCUCCACUCCAAGCGCACCAUAACAAGCAUCGCGGCCACCUGCUCUUUGACCCGCUUUCUUCAGCCUCCUUCACUCACGAGAAGGCCAAGUAUUGAAAUGAUUGAGGAACGAGGAGCUGCUCCACCUCGGCUGGUUUCUGCUGGCAAAGUCACCUCGACUGUCGCCUCGUCUUUUAAUUUUCCACCCCGGCGUUAAUGCAAAAGGCGUUUGGCAUCAGCAGUUAAGUGGGGCCAGAGCUGCUUCCACCUCCUGCAGGAAGAGGAAGAGGAAGAGGAGAGGAAGAGAAGGAGGAGGGACGAGCAGCUGAGAAAACGGCCACAACCUCCCUGUUUCUUCACUGAUUCAGAAGGAUGGUUGCCAGCAGGAGCCAGUUUGUCCGACGGGUUUGAACCGACGCCCUGCAGGAAAGAGACCCAGCCGGCUCAACCUUUCACUCCUGUUCAUCACUGUCUGGCCUCCUUUUUACUGAAUGAAGCA